rnacentral:rRNA from 1 species
GGUGCUUGCAUCAUGAUUUACAUUUGAGUGAGUGGCGAACUGGUGAGUAACACGUGGGAAACCUGCCCAGAAGCGGGGGAUAACACCUGGAAACAGAUGCUAAUACCGCAUAACAACUUGGACCGCAUGGUCCGAGCUUGAAAGAUGGCUUCGGCUAUCACUUUUGGAUGGUCCCGCGGCGUAUUAGCUAGAUGGUGGGGUAACGGCUCACCAUGGCAAUGAUACGUAGCCGACCUGAGAGGGUAAUCGGCCACAUUGGGACUGAGACACGGCCCAAACUCCUACGGGAGGCAGCAGUAGGGAAUCUUCCACAAUGGACGAAAGUCUGAUGGAGCAACGCCGCGUGAGUGAAGAAGGGUUUCGGCUCGUAAAACUCUGUUGUUAAAGAAGAACAUAUCUGAGAGUAACUGUUCAGGUAUUGACGGUAUUUAACCAGAAAGCCACGGCUAACUACGUGCCAGCAGCCGCGGUAAUACGUAGGUGGCAAGCGUUGUCCGGAUUUAUUGGGCGUAAAGCGAGCGCAGGCGGUUUUUUAAGUCUGAUGUGAAAGCCUUCGGCUCAACCGAAGAAGUGCAUCGGAAACUGGGAAACUUGAGUGCAGAAGAGGACAGUGGAACUCCAUGUGUAGCGGUGAAAUGCGUAGAUAUAUGGAAGAACACCAGUGGCGAAGGCGGCUGUCUGGUCUGUAACUGACGCUGAGGCUCGAAAGUAUGGGUAGCAAACAGGAUUAGAUACCCUGGUAGUCCAUACCGUAAACGAUGAAUGCUAAGUGUUUGAAGGGUUUCCGCCCUUCAGUGCUGCAGCUAACGCAUUAAGCAUUCCGCCUGGGGAGUACGGCCGCAAGGCUGAAACUCAAAGGAAUUGACGGGGGCCCGCACAAACGGUGGAGCAUGUGGUUUAAUUCGAAACUACGCGAAGAACCUUACCAGGUCUUGACAUACUAUGCAAAUCUAAGAAAUUAGACGUUCCCUUCGGGGACAUGGAUACAAGUGGUUCCAUUGUUGUCGUCAGCUCUUGUCCUGAAAAUUUUGGGUUUAAUUCCCG